UACCUAAUUUUGAAUCAGUAAUUGAUCGUUUUUGAAUCACUGGUCGGUGAUUAUCAUCCGUCACCCCAUUCGCAUAAUAACAGGAUACAGAGGAUAUACAUAAUAAUCUUCAUGAUAAUGUCACUCGCUGUGUAAAUAUCAUGAUACCGAGCUCCAAGUGAUGAUUCAUCACUGACUGAUGUUCAUCAAUACCCUAUUGAAUCAACGAAAUAGCAGCCGGAUGAUGAGAGGGUAUUCACUCUGCAGGAAUAAGUUCAAUCAUUCGCUCAAGCACUUCACUUCGAAAUGAUAACAGGAAGAUUCUCUGGCAAGGCGGUCGACUGUUUUCUGUACGUAGUGCAUAAAAGAACACAUAUCGGUACUGAAGUAGUUCGAUCAGUGCAGGUUGAGUGAUUUUUUUGAAUCAGGGAUAUCAGUGAUCGACGUGAUAUUGCAUCAUGUGAUAUUCCUUAGAACCGGUUGCCGAGAUUGUGGCUUUACGGUCGUGAGCAAUCAUAAAAUAUCAUGUAAUCAGAAAGUUGUAGUAUGCAGUAUGUAGUACGUAUAUAACAAAAUGCGAUCUGUUUAUGUCGUUGUAUACUGAAUAAAAUAAUAAAUUUC